GUAGGUGGCAAGCGUUGUCCGGAAUUAUUGGGCGUAAAGCGCGCGCAGGCGGUUCUUUAAGUCUGAUGUGAAAGCCCACGGCUCAACCGUGGAGGGUCAUUGGAAACUGGAGAACUUGAGUACAGAAGAGGAAAGCGGAAUUCCACGUGUAGCGGUGAAAUGCGUAGAGAUGUGGAGGAACACCAGUGGCGAAGGCGGCUUUCUGGUCUGUAACUGACGCUGAGGCGCGAAAGCGUGGGGAGCAAAUAGGGAUUAGAUACCCUGGUAGUCCACGCCGUAAACGAUGAGUGCUAAGUGUUAGGGGGUUUCCGCCCCCUUAGUGCUGCAGCUAACGCAUUAAGCACUCCGCCUGGGGAUACGGCCGCAAGGCUG
rnacentral:rRNA from 1 species